rnacentral:rRNA from 1 species
UACGUAGGGUGCAAGCGUUGUUCGGAAUUAUUGGGCGUAAAGAGCUCGUAGGCGGUUCGUCGCGUCGGCUGUGAAAACCCGGAGCUCAACUCCGGGCCUGCAGUCGAUACGGGCGGACUCGAGUUCGGCAGGGGAGACUGGAAUUCCUGGUGUAGCGGUGAAAUGCGCAGAUAUCAGGAGGAACACCGGUGGCGAAGGCGGGUCUCUGGGCCGAUGACUGACGUGAGGAGCGAAAGCGUGGGGAGCGAACAGGA